UACGGAGGGGGCAAGCGUUAUUCGGAAUUAUUGGGCGUAAAGGGCGCGUAGGCGGCCUUCUAAGUCAGACGUGAAAUCCCCCGGCUUAACCUGGGAACUGCCAUUGAUACUAUCUGUCUUGAAUAUCGUGGAGGUAAGCGGAAUAUGUCAUGUAGCGGUGAAAUGCUUAGAUAUGACAUAGAACACCAAUUGCGAAGGCAGCUUACUACCCGAAUAUUGACACUGAGGCACGAAAGCGUGGGGAUCAAACAGG
rnacentral:rRNA from 1 species